GCAGUCGUGGCCGAGUGGUUAAGGCGAUGGACUAGAAAUCCAUUUAUGUGAGCACGGACGCCGGCC
rnacentral:tRNA from 1 species